AUGCGUGGGCGACGCGCUACCCCGCGGAUGUCUGCAGACCUGCCACCCCCGGUUAAGAGGACCAUGCACUCAACAAAUAUUUGUGAGGCCUACUGUGGGAAGGCCACAAGACAGCUGGAGCAGUUAUGAUGAGUGUGAUGAGCGCCGUUAAAGGCCCGCCCCGGCUUAUCUACCUAAGGCCAGGCCUGGCAGCGCGGCUACCAUCCAUCUCGAGGCAGUGUGGAGGGCGGACUGGAAGCGGUUUGAAGACAGCGAGAGGCCCAGCUGGGCACCAUGAUGGCUUACACUUCGAUAGUGACCGUGCGUGGAGAGCAAGAAGUGAAUUCCUCAUGUUUGGCCUUUUUGGAGAGAACUUUGGCAGUCUCGACUACAAAUGGACAAAUACCCUCAGAAUCAAUAAAUCUACUUGAAUGUCGUGGUUCAUUAACAUCAGACUGGUUACAUGAAUACACAAGGAUGACUCGUGAAAUGCUAUGCAGCAGUUAAAAAGAAAGAAGUAGAGCCAAAUAUAUUGUCAUAGAAAGAUUUCCAAGACAUUAGGUGGAAAAAGCAAGUUGCUGGAUAAUACGUACACUUUUACCCCAUUUCUGUAAAAACUAAAUAAAACAAUACAUUUCUAUAUGUAAAUGUAUAGAAACUACUGAUGACAGUGAUUUUUCUCUGGGGAGGGGAAGUAAGAUCAGAGGAAGGUCAAGUGGACUUUUAUUGUUUCCAGUUUUUACAAAGAAAUAUUGAUUCAACAAAUAUGUAUCCAGUGCCUGUCAUGUGUCCCACCCACAUCUAGCCGGGUGUCAGAGAUAAAGAUAGAGCAUGGAUAAAGGCCGUGAGGUCGUGACUCUUGUGGUCUGGGAUGAAAGAGUGGGAUUUACUCAUUUGAUAGGCAAAUACAAAUGAAGAAAGAAGAAAAAGAAGCAAAGAGGUAACCUUUUGCAAGAGAUAGCUAAGAGGUGUGAGCCAGAGGAGUUCAUUGACUGCAGGUGAUAAAUGAGGACACAGGAGGAAUGAAGAACACCUUCAAGUUUCAGGCCUGAGUAACCAGGUGGCAUUUGGUUUCAUCUCCUGAUGGGAUGGAAACAGGUUCUGUGGGGCAUGGAACUCAUUCAGCUGGUGGAGUGGGGAGCCCUUUAAGAGAAAAUUCAAGUUUACAAAUACAAAAUUAGAUUUGAACAUGGAUAUUUAUUUAGAAUGAGAAGAAAAAUCACACACACAAAAAAUGAGUUUUUACAAGCUGACAUACCAGAAAAAUCC
rnacentral:lncRNA from 1 species